GCCUGACGCAGCGACGCCGCGUGGGGGAUGAAGGUCUUCGGAUUGUAAACCCCUUCGGGAGGGAAGAUGGGAUGGGGUAACCCAUUCGGACGGUACCUCCAGAAGCAGCCACGGCUAACUUCGUGCCAGCAGCCGCGGUAAUACGAAGGUGGCAAGCGUUGUUCGGAUUACUGGGCGUACAGGGAGCGUAGGCGGUUGGGUAAGCCCUCCGUGAAAUCUCCAGGCUUAACCUGGAAAGUGCAGAGGGGACUGCUCAGCUAGAGGAUGGGAGAGGAGCGCGGAAUUCCCGGUGUAGCGGUGAAAUGCGUAGAGAUCGGGAGGAAGGCCGGUGGCGAAGGCGGCGCUCUGGAACAUUUCUGACGCUGAGGCUCGAAAGCGUGGGGAGCAAACAGGAUUAGAUACCCUGGUAGUCCACGCCUUAAACGAUGGAUACUAAGUGUCGGCGGGUUACCGCCGGUGCCGCAGCUAACGCAGUAAGUAUCCCGCCUGGGAAGUACGGCCGCAAGGUUG
rnacentral:rRNA from 1 species